GCACGACAAUGAGUGAAAUGCUGUUGGAAUAUCUUCCUUAAAUUUGGCUAUAGCGCUGUCAAAUAGGCAUCUAGUGUAGAAGCUUUUAUUUAAUUUGGUAUAGUCGGGUAGUAAGAAUUCAAAAGUUAUUAGAGAAUGGUCUGAUAAUAAAGGAUUCUGCGGUAAUACUAUUAAAUCUUCAAUUUUGAUGCCAUAUGUCAGCACAAGGUCGAGGGUGUGGUCAAAACAGUGCGUGGCCUUAUGCACACUCUGACUAAAACCAAUUGAAUCUAGUAGUGAGUUGAAAGCAAUACUACGGCUAUCAUUGUCAAAGUCCACAUGGAUAU